UCCCUGGUGGUCCAGUGGUAGGACUCCACGCUUCCAAUGACGGGGGCCUAGGUUCAAUCCCUGGUCAGAGAA
rnacentral:tRNA from 1 species